rnacentral:rRNA from 1 species
GAUGAACGCUGGCGGCGUGCCUAAUACAUGCAAGUCGAGCGAACUGAUUAGAAGCUUGCUUCUAUGACGUUAGCGGCGGACGGGUGAGUAACACGUGGGCAACCUGCCUGUAAGACUGGGAUAACUUCGGGAAACCGAAGCUAAUACCGGAUAGGAUCUUCUCCUUCAUGGGAGAUGAUUGAAAGAUGGUUUCGGCUAUCACUUACAGAUGGGCCCGCGGUGCAUUAGCUAGUUGGUGAGGUAACGGCUCACCAAGGCAACGAUGCAUAGCCGACCUGGGAGGGUGAUCGGCCACACGGGGACUGAGACACGGCCCAGACUCCUACGGGAGGCAGCAGUAGGGAAUCUUCCGCAAUGGAUGAAAGUCUGACGGAGCAACGCCGCGUGAGUGAUGAAGGCUUUCGGGUCGUAAAACUCUGUUGUUAGGGAAGAACAAGUACAAGAGUAACUGCUUGUACCUUGACGGUACCUAACCAGAAAGCCACGGCUAACUACGUGCCAGCAGCCGCCGUAA